ensembl:snoRNA
AUCCCUUUUAUGGUCCAUAAGCAUGAUGAUUGAAUUUAUACAUGUCUGUGUGAGAUAUGCCUCCCUCUAAACCUCUAAACCUUAUAACAUCAGCACAAUACCUGUCUGAUG